rnacentral:rRNA from 1 species
GACGAACGCUGGCGGCGUGCUUAACACAUGCAAGUCGAACGGAAAGGCCCUGCUUUUGUGGGGUGCUCGAGUGGCGAACGGGUGAGUAACACGUGAGUAACCUGCCCUUGACUUUGGUAUAACUUCAGGAAACUGGGGCUAAUACCGGAUAGGAGCUCCUGCUGCAUGGUGGGGGUUGGAACGUUUCGGCGGUUGGGGAUGGACUCGCGGCUUAUCAGCUUGUUGGUGGGGUAGUGGCUUACCAAGGCUUUGACGGGUAGCCGGCCUGUGAGGGUGACCGGCCACAUUGGGACUGAGAUACGGACCAGACUGCUAUGGGAGGCAGCAGUGGGGAAUAUUGCACAAUGGGCGGAAGUCUGAGGCAGCAACGCCGCGUGCGGGAUGACGGCCUUCGGGUUGUAAACCGCUGUCGCCUGUGACGAAGCGUUAGUGACGGUAAUGGGUAAAGAAGCACCGGCUAACUACGUG